rnacentral:rRNA from 1 species
GUGCGAGUCGAACGGGAAAGUGGGCAACCAUGAGUACAGUGGCGUACGGGUGAGUAACACGUGGGUAAUCUACCUCUUAGUGGGGAAUAACUCUGGGAAACCGGAGCUAAUACCGCAUGAGCUCGAGAGAGGAAAGUCGCAAGACGCUGAGAGAGGAGCCCGCGGCCGAUUAGCUAGUUGGGAGGGUAAGAGCCUUACAAGGCAGAGAUCGGUAGCCGGCCUGAGAGGGCACACGGCCACACUGGCACUGAAACACGGGCCAGACUCCUACGGGAGGCAGCAGUGGGGAAUCUUGCACAAUGGGGGAAACCCUGAUGCAGCGACGCCGCGUGAGCGAUGAAGCCCUUCGGGGUGUAAAGCUCUUUCGUCAGGGAAGAUGAUGACGGUACCUGGAGAAGCAGCUGCGGCUAACUACGUGCCAGCAGCCGCGGUAAUACGUAGGCAGCGAGC